UACCUGACAACGGUCACUCUAAAAGACUUUUCGGCAAAACAAAACACAUUUUUACAGAAAACACGCCGUAAUUUAAAUAAUAUUUAUUAGAAAUGUCGGAAACUAGCUCCAAGGAUAAUGUCAAAACGGCAAUGACCUAUAUUUGCGGAGAAUGUCAUCAUGAAAAUGAAAUGCGUCCCAGGGAUCCGAUUCGUUGUCGCGAAUGUGGAUAUCGUAUCAUGUACAAAAAACGCACCAAGCGUCUUGUUGUCUUUGAUGCUCGUUAAAAAAUCCUAAAAACUUAUAGACACCCGUCUAAACAAUACUUUUAAGCAGUUAGUUCGUAAAAAAAAGCUUGUGCUUCAAUAAAUCAAUGUCAUCCCCAAGAACUACAGCGUUUUAUCAUUAAAUAAUUAAUCUAUUGAGUACAUCUAAAAGGACUUUAAAAGAAUGUCAUCAUGAAAAUGAAAUGCGUCCCAGGGAUCCGAUUCGUUGUCGCGAAUGUGGAUAUCGUAUCAUGUACAAAAAACGCACCAAGCGUCUUGUUGUCUUUGAUGCUCGUUAAAAAAUCCUAAAAACUUAUAGACACCCGUCUAAACAAUACUUUUAAGCAGUUAGUUCGUAAAAAAAAGCUUGUGCUUCAAUAAAUCAAUGUCAUCCCCAAGAA